GCCACUGCUAUUGGGGUUCGGCUAAGCCAUGCGAGUGGAGGGCGUCCCGCAAGGGAUGGCCCCGCAGACGACUCAGUAACACGUCGUCAACCCACCUUAGGGUGGGGGACAACCUCGGGAAACUGAGGAUAAUCCCCCAUAGGCGGGGGAGGCUGGAAUGCGCCCCCGCUGAAAGCUCAGGCGCCCUAGGACGGGACGGCGGCCUAUCAGGUAGUUGGUGGUGUGACG
rnacentral:rRNA from 1 species